AUUGAACGCUGGCGGCAGGCCUAACACAUGCAAGUCGGACGGUAGCACAGAGGAGCUUGCUCCUUGGGUGACGAGUGGCGGACGGGUGAGUAAUGUCUGGGGAUCUGCCCGAUAGAGGGGGAUAACCACUGGAAACGGUGGCUAAUACCGCAUAACGUCGCAAGACCAAAGAGGGGGACCUUCGGGCCUCUCACUAUCGGAUGAACCCAGAUGGGAUUAGCUAGUAGGCGGGGUAAUGGCCCACCUAGGCGACGAUCCCUAGCUGGUCUGAGAGGAUGGCCAGCCACACUGGAACUGAGACACGCGCCAGACUCCUACGGGAGGCAGCAGUGGGGAAUAUUGCACAAUGGGCGCAAGCCUGAUGCAGCCAUGCCGCGUGUAUGAAGAAGGCCUUCGGGUUGUAGAGUACUUUCAGCGGGGAGGAAGGCGGUGAGGUUAAUAACCUCGCCGAUUGACGUUACCCGCAGAAGAAGCACCGGCUAACUUCGUGCCAGCCGCCGCAGUAA
rnacentral:rRNA from 1 species